GAGUUUGAUCGUGGCUCAGAUUGAACGCUGGCGGCAUGCCUUACACAUGCAAGUCGAACGGCAGCAUGAUCUAGCUUGCUAGAUUGAUGGCGAGUGGCGAACGAGUGAGUAAUACAUCGGAACGUGCCCUGUAGUGGGGGAUAACUAGUCGAAAGAUUAGCUAAUACCGCAUACGACCUGAGGGUGAAAGUGGGGGACCGCAAGGCCUCAUGCUAUAGGAGCGGCCGAUGUCUGAUUAGCUAGUUGGUGGGGUAAAGGCCCACCAAGGCGACGAUCAGUAGCUGGUCUGAGAGGACGAUCAGCCACACUGGGACUGAGACACGGCCCAGACUCCUACGGGAGGCAGCAGUGGGGAAUUUUGGACAAUGGGCGAAAGCCUGAUCCAGCAAUGCCGCGUGUGUGAAGAAGGCCUCGGUUGUAAG
rnacentral:rRNA from 1 species